AGCGAGUCAGUUUUCAGUUUUAUUCAUAAUUUGCAUAUUUUACAUCGUGAAGGGAAAUACGGCUGUGCUUAAUUUAAAGUUUAGUCUAACACUAUGGAUUGUAUAAUCAGAUAAGUCUCACAAAAUUUUUAUUUUUUUGUAUGGAGUAAGUAUUCUGAGAUAAGAUGAAUACUUUGUGUUAUGUUUUAUUUUUAGUUAUAUUAAAAGCAAGAGAGGAAGAAACACUAUUUGAGCGUAAAGUAGAAGAGUAGACGAGUAAGGAAAGAAAGAUGUAAAAGAGAGAUCAACCUCACAGCUUGGAAUUUACAGUGUGCCGAACAGAAUAUGUGGACCUUGAAGCUCAGCGAACCAUUAUAUGUAUAGAGAAUUGACAGAGCAAUUCAUAUCAAAAGGAUUAUCUAAAGGUGUACGUCCUAGUUCUUCAAGUAUGUUAUUUUAUGGCAUUAUCUUAUGGCAGGCUAGAUUACUAAAAUAAAUAAAAAACGUGAAAUCUGAUCUGAAACAAUUACAACAAAGUAUACAGACUAAUAUCACUCAACUAACCUGCCAAUGAUGUGGUCGCAGGCUGUAAUAUAGGAAAUAUGUUUAUGAAUGUCAAAGAUCAUCUGUAGGUCUUAGUCAUUUAGUAACUGUCAUGCAUUUUGUGUCAGCCAGAUAUACGCCUCAGAAAUAUACUGAUAAAGCUCUUAGUUACAUUAAAAACUAAAAAGUAAGUAUUUAAAUACUCUGUUCCCAAAAUAAUUUAUUCUAAUUAAUACAAUUCUCUUCAUACAUUCACAAUAAUAACAUUCAGAAUUUUUAUUUAUAUUUUUGAUUCUCUAACUUAAUUGUUUGUAAAUUGAGGCAUAUAUAAGACGAAAGACUACAAAAUAGGCAUAUAUGAGACGAAAGACAAAAUAAGAUAUUUUUAUUUAUAGAAUAAUUUAAGAAUGACCAGUGGAUGUGCGUAUGAUUAUCUGGAAAUGUGCACAAAAGUGGAACUUGAGAAGGAACAUUUGAUUAUUCCCAUCUCUAAUUUGCUGGGUUUUAUUCUAAAAACAUAUAAUGGCUAUAAUUUAUUCUUACCUGUUCUAAUCCUUGUGAAAAUUUCUUCAGCUUUUAUAAAUUUCAGUUAUUCUUUACGUUCUUUUAAAUUUUAAGAAGAACAGUUGUCCGAAUGAUGUAAGAAUAAUUG
rnacentral:lncRNA from 1 species